GCGUGAGUGAAGAAGGCCCUAGGGUUGUAAAACUCUUUCAUCAGUGACGAUAAUGACGGUAACUGAAGAAGAAGCUCCGGCUAACUCCGUGCCAGCAGCCGCGGUAAUACGGAGGGAGCUAGCGUUGUUCGGAAUUACUGGGCGUAAAGCGCUCGCAGGCGGAUAUACAAGUUGGGGGUGAAAGCCCGGGGCUCAACCCCGGAACUGCCUCCAAAACUGUAUAUCUAGAGACCGGUAGAGGUGAGUGGAAUUCCUAGUGUAGAGGUGAAAUUCGU
rnacentral:rRNA from 1 species